UACGAAGGGGGCUAGCGUUGCUCGGAAUCACUGGGCGUAAAGGGUGCGUAGGCGGGUCUUUAAGUCAGGGGUGAAAUCCUGGAGCUCAACGUCCAGAACUGCCUUUGAUACUGAGGAUCUUGAGUUCGGGAGAGGUGAGUGGAACUGCGAGUGUAGAGGUGAAAUUCGUAGAUAUUCGCAAGAACACCAGUGGCGAAGGCGGCUCACUGGCCCGAUACUGACGCUGAGGCACGAAAGCGUGGGGAGCAAACAGG
rnacentral:rRNA from 1 species